UAAAGUUGACAUAUUUUUAUAUUUAGUUAAAAAUUUAACUUUCUGGAGAAAAUUCAACGUCAGAUUUAUUAUUAAUAAAUAAAAAAAUUGUGAUAAUGCAAAUAAAACAUUUAUGUACAAUUCAAUCAAAUGUUUAGAUUUAAGCAUAGUGGACACUACAACAAAAGCUGUUAAGCAUGAAAUUACGUUUGUGUAAAAGCACUUAAAUACGACAACUUAGCCGUUGAAGAAUAUGAUUGAACAUGUUAGGUAUAUUUUUAGUCACAUUUCGGUUUGUAUAAAAAACUUAAUAAAAGAAAGAAAAAAUUUUCGACAAUCGUAUAAGCAUAUAAGGAAUCAAAGUGGCUUUUACCUGGUUGACUUAGAAAUUGAGGUAGUUUUUGAGAAAAAAUAAGACACUAGAAAAUUGCGAAAAAAAAAAUUAAUGAUAUUAAAGAUAAAAACGCUAAGAAAUUAGUUGGAUAUAGUAAGAAAAAUACUCAAAUACUAGAAACUGUAUUUUAGGCUCAAUAAAUAUUUUAUACCUACUAAUACGCUAAAAAGAUAUAACCCAAGAACAGAUAAGGCAAAGAACCAUCGAAUUUUCAAUUAAGGAUUCACAAGAAUUAGUUAUAUUUGUUGAAUCAAUAACGCGAGCAAUUGAAGAUCGAAUUGAACACCUAACAAAAUUUAAUACAUCAUUUAAGCUAACAAUAUUUUAUACUAGGAAAAUAAUAGUUUCCUUAAUAUUUUUAUUGAAUAAUAAUAAGUUAUAUAAUCAAUAAACGAGAUGUUCCUGUACAUGUAUAACGUCAGAUAUACGUUUAAGAUUGUAGCACAAAAACUCAAUAUUUGUUUCAAAUCAAUUUAUUUAUUUUAUUUCAUAUUACCAGAGGAAACUAGUAUAUUUCAU